rnacentral:rRNA from 1 species
UACGGAGGAGGCAAGCGUUAUCCGGAAUUAUUGGGCGUAAAGCGUCCGUAGGUGGCUCUCUCAAGUCUGCGGUCAAAGACCGGGGCUCAACUCUGGAAAGGCCGUGGAAACUGGUGAGCUAGAGUGCGGUAGGGGCAGAGGGAAUUCCCAGUGUAGCGGUGAAAUGCGUAGAUAUGCGGAGGAACACCGAUGGCGAAGGCAAUCCCCUGGGCCUGCACUGACGCUCAUGCACGAAAGCGUGGGAGCAAACAGGAUAGAA